CCUUCACACCUCCCUAGCUAGCCAUUCCAUAGUGCUCCCUCUCUCUCUCUCUCUCUCUCUCUCUCUCUCUCUCUCUCUCAUUGGAGAAGAGUAAGAAAAACUUGUUUUGUGGGUAGGAGCUAGAAGAAGGGAAAAUGAUGUCAAAGUCAUGGGGUUCAUGAUAAUUGUCUCCAUGUGAAAGGAAGCAAAAAAGAACACAAUGAACGCUUCCGAGAAUUAUUAGGGACUGGAUUUUCUAGCCUUUUACAAUUGCUAGAUUCAACGCAAAACGCCCUGCACUAAUCAUCAUGCCCUCUCCUAAUUACUACUUCCCAUCUCCUCCAUCAUCAUUAUUCCCUCACUUUCUUCAUCACCACACCUUCUUUUACCAUCCACCCACCAAACCUACAACCACCUCAUCAAAGCCGAUCGGAACAAGGAAGAGGAAGAGGAAGAGGAAGAGGAAGAGGAAGAGAGAGAAAAUUUGAGAUACUAUGAAGAUGAUGGGUUCACUGAAGAAGAAGAAACCCUACUUUUCAUCUCCAGGAUAUUGUGAAUGAUCGGAAGGGUCCCUCUUCUUUUCUUUUCUUGUUCCUGAUCUUCUCUCUUUUCACGGGGAAUGAAAGCGUAACGGUCCGAUUGUUUGUUAGAUCAAAAUUUAUGACUACGGCGGCGGCGACUGGUGUAGGCACGAUUGCUUGCUUCUCCAGCUGUCCAUGGCUCUUGGGCAUGCUUCGGUUAUUCCUGACGGUAAGGUGGAGGGCUCGC